rnacentral:rRNA from 1 species
AAUAGAUACCCGGGUAGUCCAUGCCGUAAACGAUGUCUACUAGCCGUUGGGGCCUUUGAGGCUUUAGUGGCGCAGCUAACGCGAUAAGUAGACCGCCUGGGGAGUACGGUCGCAAGACUAAAACUCAAAUGAAUUGACGGGGGCCCGCACAAGCGGUGGAGCAUGUGGUUUAAUUCGAUGCAACGCGAAGAACCUUACCUGGUCUUGACAUAGUAAGAACUUUCCAGAGAUGGAUUGGUGCCUUCGGGAACUUACAUACAGGUGCUGCAUGGCUGUCGUCAGCUCGUGUCGUGAGAUGUUGGGUUAAGUCCCGCAACGAGCGCAACCCUUUUCCUAUUUGCCAGCGGGUUAAGCCGGGAACUUUAAGGAUACUGCCAGUGACAAACUGGAGGAAGGCGGGGACGACGUCAAGUCAUCAUGGCCCUUACGACCAGGGCUACACACGUGCUACAAUGGUCGGUACAAAGGGUUGCUACCUAGCGAUAGGAUGCUAAUCUCAAAAAGCCGAUCGUAGUCCGGAUUGGAGUCUACAACUCGACUCC